rnacentral:rRNA from 1 species
UACGAAGGGGGCAAGCGUUGUUCGGAAUUACUGGGCGUAAAGGGCGCGUAGGCGGCUUAUCAAGUCAGGCGUGAAAUUCCCGGGCUCAACCUGGGGGCUGCGCUUGAUACUGAUGAGCUUGAAUGCGGGAGAGGAUAGUGGAAUUCCCAGUGUAGAGGUGAAAUUCGUAGAUAUUGGGAAGAACACCGGUGGCGAAGGCGGCUAUCUGGCCCGUAAUUGACGCUGAGGCGCGAAGGCGUGGGGAGCAAACAGG